UACGUAGGGAGCGAGCGUUGUCCGGAAUUACUGGGUGUAAAGGGAGCGUAGGCGGGGAUGCAAGUUGGGUGUCAAAACUACCGGCUCAACUGGUAGUCGCACUCAAAACUGCAGCUCUUGAGUGAAGUAGAGGCAGGCGGAAUUCCCGGUGUAGCGGUGAAAUGCGUAGAGAUCGGGAGGAACACCAGUGGCGAAGGCGGCCUGCUGGGCUUUAACUGACGCUCAGGCACGAAAGCAUGGGUAGCAAACAGG
rnacentral:rRNA from 1 species